rnacentral:pre_miRNA from 1 species
UGGUAUUUUCCCGGCGCAUUUUACAGUCUUCGAAUCUGUAAUGCCCUAGGAAAUGCCUAG